rnacentral:rRNA from 1 species
GAUGAACGCUGGCGGCGUGCCUAAUACAUGCAAGUCGAGCGAACGGACGAGAAGCUUGCUUCUCUGAUGUUAGCGGCGGACGGGUGAGUAACACGUGGAUAACCUACCUAUAAGACUGGGAUAACUUCGGGAAACCGUAGCUAAUACCGGAUAAUAUUUUGAACCGCAUGGUUCAAAAGUGAAAGACGGUCUUGCUGUCACUUAUAGAUGGAUCCGCGCUGCAUUAGCUAGUUGGUAAGGUAACGGCUUACCAAGGCAACGAUGCAUGGCCGACCUGAGAGGGUGAUCGGCCACACGGGAGCUGGGACCCGCCCCAGCCCCCUACGGGAGGCAGCAGUAGGAAUCCUUCCGCAAUGGGCGAAAGCCUGCCGGAGCAACGCCGCGUGAGUGAUGAAGGUCUUCGGAUCGUAAAACUCUGUUAUUAGGGAAGAACAUAUGUGUAAGUAACUGUGCACAUCUUGACGGUACCUAUCAGAAAGCCACGGCUAACUACGUG